rnacentral:rRNA from 1 species
UAGGGAAUCUUCCACAAUGGACGAAAGUCUGAUGGAGCAACGCCGCGUGAGUGAUGAAGGGUUUCGGCUCGUAAAACUCUGUUGUUGGAGAAGAACAGGUGAUAGAGUAACUGUUAUCAUCUUGACGGUAUCCAACCAGAAAGCCACGGCUAACUACGUGCCAGCAGCCGCGGUAAUACGUAGGUGGCAAGCGUUGUCCGGAUUUAUUGGGCGUAAAGCGAGCGCAGGCGGUUUUUUAGGUCUGAUGUGAAAGCCUUCGGCUUAACCGGAGAAGGGCAUCGGAAACCGGGAGACUUGAGUGCAGAAGAGGACAGUGGAACUCCAUGUGUAGCGGUGAAAAUGCGUAGAUAUAUGGAAGAAUACCAGUGGCGAAGGCGGCUCUCUGGUCUGCAACUGACGCUGAGGCUCGAAAGCAUGGGUAGCGAACAGGAUUAGAUACCCUGGUAGUCCAUGCCGUAAAACGAUGAGUGCUAAGUGUUG